UGGGGAAUAUUGCACAAUGGGCGCAAGCCUGAUGCAGCGACGCCGCGUGGGGGAUGAAGGCCUUCGGGUUGUAAACUCCUUUCGCUAGAGACGAAGCUUUGUUGUGACGGUACCUAGAUAAGAAGCACCGGCUAACUACGUGCCAGCAGCCGCGGUAAUACGUAGGGUGCGAGCGUUGUCCGGAAUUACUGGGCGUAAAGGGCUCGUAGGUGGUUUGUCGCGUCGUCUGUGAAAUUCUGGGGCUUAACUCCGGGCGUGCAGGCGAUACGGGCAUAACUUGAGUGCUGUAGGGGUAACUGGAAUUCCUGGUGUAGCGGUGAAAUGCGCAGAUAUCAGGAGGAACACCGAUGGCGAAGGCAGGUUACUGGGCAGUUACUGACGCUGAGGAGCGAAAGCAUGGAUAGCGAACAGGAUUAGAUACCCUGGUAGUCCAUGCCGUAAACGGUGGGCGCUAGGUGUGAGGGUCUUUCUACGACUUUCGUGCCGUAGCUAACGCAUUAAGCGCCCCGCCUGGGGAGUACGGCCGCAAGGCUA
rnacentral:rRNA from 1 species